rnacentral:ncRNA from 1 species
UAUCUGUUUAACUAUGGCAGUAGAAAGCUCGUAGUAGACCAGUUGCAUAAAUUAGUUGUUUCCUUAAAGUGAUUUAUUAUGUUAUUUAAUAUUAGCAGCUAGCAUUUUUUUAGAACUUUCGUUUUCUAAGGGUUUACUGCAUGAAGGGGAUAGGACACAGUGCCAGCAUCCGCGGUUAAUCUGUUUUCUUUGCUUUUUUCUGAGUCUAGUUUAAAUAUUUAUUAGUGAGGUUUGGUGAAAUUUUCUUACGUAUGUUAAUUUUAUUUAAUUCUGUUAAAGGUAGCAGUAUAUGAUAGGGAUUAGAUACCCCAGUAAUAGCUAUUGUACACUUUCUAGUUUUAUAACUAAAUUAUUUUGGCAGCGAGUUAAUCCUAUCGGGGGAAGGUGUGUCAUAAAGGACGGUCCGCCUAUCAAUUAACCUGUGUUAUGUUGGUGUAUAUCUGGUUAGAUAUUAUUGCUUUAUAGCUGAAUUUGUGUAUGACUAACUUAAGCCAAGUCUAUGUGCUGCAUGCACAGGUGCUCAUGCGUUACUUUUAUAAUAAACCCUGUGUAAGCAGAGUUGACUUAGGACUCGAAAGUAAUGAAAAUUUAUUUUGUUUUCGUGAAUUAGGUUUAACUCGGGUACACACCGCCCGUCACCCUCGGCAUAUGUUGAGGUAAGUCGUAACAUGGUAACCCUAAAGGAAUUUGGGGUUAAUUUCGUUAGUCGUUAGGACAGUCUAGCGGUGUA